rnacentral:rRNA from 1 species
AUUGAACGCUGGCGGAAUGCUUUACACAUGCAAGUCGAACGGCAGCACGGACUUCGGUCUGGUGGCGAGUGGCGAACGGGUGAGUAAUGUAUCGGAACGUGCCCAGUCGUGGGGGAUAACGUAGUGAAAAUUACGCUAAUACCGCAUACGAUCUAUGGAUGAAAGCGGGGGAUCGCAAGACCUCGCGCGAUUGGAGCGGCCGAUAUCAGAUUAGGUAGUCGGUGGGGUAAAGGCCCACCAAGCCAACGAUCUGUAGCUGGUCUGAGAGGACGACCAGCCACACUGGAACUGAGACACGGUCCAGACUCGUACGGGAGGCAGCAGUGGGUAAUUUUGGACAAUGGGCGAAAGCCUGAUCCAGCCAUUCCGCGUGCAGGAUGAAGGCCCCCGGGUUGUAAACUGCUUUUGUACAGAACGAAAAGGUUUCUGCUAAUACUAGGAGCUCAUGACGGUACUGUAAGAAUAAGCACCGGCUAACUACGUGCCAGCCGCCGCAGUAA